CAGUCUAAUGGGAGAGAGACAUAGGUAUGUCAAUCAUUACAUUUCUGUGUGACAAGUGGUAAGUGAUGGAGACACAUGCAAAACAUAGCUAAGACCUUUAUGUGUAAAAGUAUGGAACUGUUUCCACCAAGACUAGUAUAAAACCCUUUUUGGAUCUUCACCUAGUGUUAAUUAUUCUCAUACCUCCUUGUCGUUCCUGUUUCACUUGGCUGAAAGAUCAGCACUCUCUCUCCUUGACAAAAUUCUAUACACUUUCAAGACCUGAUUUUUUUCCCCUUUUUUUGAGGGGUGGAGGGGUGGGGGGGGUGGCUGUGCCAGUGGUAUACAGAAAUUCCAGGGCCUGGGAUCGAACCCUCCCCACAGAUGUGACCUAUGUUGCAGCAGUGACAAUGCCAGAUCCUUAACCACUAGACCAUCAGGAAACUCCUAAAUAUUAAUUUUUUACUUUUUCCAACUGAAGUGCUUUGCCUUGUUGAGGCAUAUUUGGAGAUGCUAACAAACUCAAACAAAGCAUUAUUGUAACAAUGCAAUGCAAUACUCAUUUAUCUGGGACUGUCCAUUUCCUGACAUUCAACAAACCUUGUACAUUUUUUUGAUGCAAGUGCAUUUCCUAAGAAACGACUUUCAGAUGCAUGAUAAGCUGGCUCUCCACAUGCUUCCAGUGUUAAAGGUGACUUCACCUCGAUGGUAGGGUUAUCAGGGAGGUAAUAGUAUUAACAGAACCCAAUAUCAGGAAGUCUAAGAAAAUGAUUAUUUCUCAAUUUUCCUUCUACAUUUUAAAUGUGCAUUUAUUAAAUAUGACUUUGCAAAAUGACUGUAGCUCUCCUCAAAUGGAAUACCCAGUGAACAGAACCCUGGAGUUCAGGAAAAGCUGAACAGUGAUAUAUAAAAGCUGGAGCAGUGAUAUAACAGGUUUAUAGUCUGUUGAGACCCUUUUAUACCUGAAUUUCUAUUAUUAAGCAAAUGAUGCAUUAUUAUGCAUUGAUUUUCCCUCUAGGACCUCUUAUUCUAUAUUAGCUCUUACCUCAUUUCCCUCUAUCUUCCUUGUGUUUGUGUGUGUAUCCAUCACAAGAUUUAAACACUAUCUCUUCCUAGAAUCUUCUCCCUAGGCUUCUAGACAGGGAGGGGGACUUCCCUUGCAUGACUCUUUCAUCGCACUUAUAUUUUAUAUGUUGAAUUACAAGCUAAUGUUUAUCUCACUCACAAUAAAGGCUUUGCUUCACUCACCUCUGAAUCAUCUGAAUCUAGGGAAAUGGCUGGCAAUAAGAGGUGCCUAUUAAUAUCUAAUCUAAGAGCUCAUGAAGAAAUGAGACUGCAAUUGAGCAAGAAUUGGUGAAUUUGUAACACUAUACCCGUGUUCUAGAUUACCUGUCAUCAACCCCAUAUGUGGGUCUCUUUCCUUUACAUUUUAUAGCCCAGCAGAUGGUUUGAAAUCUUCAUUACUGUUAUUUUUUCUUAAAUUAAGAAAGGAAGGAAGGAGGGAAGGAGAGAGGAAGAAGGAAGAGGGAGGAAGGAGAGAAGGAAUGAAAGCAAGCUAAAAAUGAUAGAAUACUCUUCUGCAAUUCUGGGAGAAUUCUGUUUUAGUCUCUGAUUCCUUACAGAGUCAUGUUGAAGCCUGGCUUAAGUAUAGCCAUGUAAUUGGCUAAAUUUGAGUUGACUAAGUAUUUUAUUUCAUCUUUUUCCCCAGAGCCAGUAUAUAUACAUAUAUUUUUGUAUUCUCAAUAUAGUUCAUUCAAUUCACCAAGCAAUUACUGAGCACAUAAUAUAUACUAAGCAAGGCAAGAACACACCUUUGAAUGAGUCAUGUUCUCUGUUCCAAAGGAAAGGAAGAAACUUGAAGAAACGGGUGUGUAACUGUUUACGUGCCAUGCAAAUUUUUGGUGUGACCAUAUGUAGUGGGGCAGUGUUCUGCAUAUUUAAUUUUGUCGUUUGUGUCACAGCCUCCGCACAGCCUGCCGCAUGGAGAAACACAUAGCAUGUGAGUGAGUGGACGGCAUCCCCACAGUCUACUCCUCUGGACGACAGGCAGGUCACUUUGAAGGACGAGUCCUUCCUGGGGUCUGCCUUUCCAAGGAGACGAACACGGGUUUGUUUCAGAACACAAUGGGUUGCCUUUCCUUUUUCAGGAAGAUGUGUAUGGGUGUUCAGGCAAGAUAUUUUAGAUAAAAGUCUUCAUGCUCUACAAAGAGGAAAAACUAACAAUGUACCUGUGAGAUUAGGUGGGUAAUUUAGAACAGUGAGUCACUUCACAUCCCUGGGGUGGAGAGAGGCGCAGAGCCUGCUCUCAGAAUCGAUAAUCACAACAAAUCCUACCCCAGCAGGACAUACAGAAUCUGUCCAGUUCAUAAAAGCCUGCGCUGCUAUUUUUAGAUUUACCCUCACCCCGAGGAUACAGCAGUCACAUAAAGCAGUCUUGUUCAAACGCCACCAGCCCCUUUCAGAAGGGAGUUUUCCUUUAAAUAGGGUUUUUUUUUUUUUCCCUUCUCUUUCUUUCCUUUCUCUCCUGUUCUAAUUAAAGCAGAUUGAAAGGAGGGGUUCAUGUUUUUGAAGCCACAUUUUCUGUUUUCAGGGUUGGCUCUGAGCUUUUUGCUUGAUGAAUACACCAGUUACUUCACAGCUUGCUAAACAAAGCAUUUUUUGUUGGUUUUCUAGAAACCUCAGGGAAUAUGGGAAUUUUAGGUUCAACCCCUAUGGGUUCCUUACCCAAUUCCUGAAAGUCCCACUGUGGUUUGGGGGAGGAAAGAGAGGGUGUCUGUGUUAAACAUCCAGUGAGCUUCCAGAUUUUGGGUCAAAUAUCUACUGGGACAAUUGAGGUCAAAAGUGGCAGACAGUUAAAGGGCAAGAGAAUGAGACUUGGCCAGCGGUGAAGCAGCACAGAGAAAAGUACAGAGUGAGGAAUUUCCAUUUCCAAUAUGCUCCUCUCAUCAAGCCAGGACUCUGCAGGGUGGUCCAUGGCUUCUGGGUUUUCAGAGGAGCCUGGAUCAUCCUUUCUUUAGUUCUUGACUAAGCUCCCAUUACAGGACAUUAAACAAAGAAAAGUCAUCAAAAACUACUCUUGCAAUUUAAUCCAUUCGGGGAAAGGGCAGAACAUAAAACUGGAUAGACCGUAGUGUGAUCCGCUCACUAGUCACAGGACUGAUCCUAAGAGGGAGUCAGAGAAGAGAGGGAAUGAUUUGACAUCAGACAAAAUGGACCUCCGUCUUCAUCUUGGCUACUCCCUGGGCCACACGAGGAAAGUUACUUCAUCUUUGAGUCUUGCUUGGUUCAUUUUUCAAAUAAUGCAUAGGUUUUAUUCACCAUGCUUUUCCUGUGCCAGGGAUUGUGCUAAGGUCUUGACUACUGUUACUUCGUCUGAUGCUCUAAACAACCCUAAGGGAUAGAAACUAGUAUUCUAUCAAGUUUCAAAUGAGGGGACUGAAGCUUUGUGAGAUCAAGCAACUAAAAUGUCAGAAGUAUCUGGCAAGAGAGGAGUUAAAAUAAUAAAAUAAAAUAUGUAGAGCACUUGGUAUGCAGCAGCCACAGCAAUGCUUAUGGUGCUGAGGGAACUGCGGUUGGGACCAUCAGCACACAGGCCAAGGAGGGAGGACUCGGAAGGAGGAAAGCUCUGGGGCUCCAUCAAACUUAGCUUAGUGCCUUGCAUAGAGUAGGUACACAACAAAUACUCAUUGCACACCCAAGCCUGUUUCAGGCCUUCUCAAACCCAAAUGUGCUUUGCUUCCUAGGCAUAAGCCAUCACCUCUUUUGAGUGUGUAUCAUUGCAAUUCCCCCAAAGCCCUGUACUCACCUAAAUGGGAGAGGUAUGGGAGAGAAAAUAGAGUAACUCAAGUGCAUUUUCAUGGGUUACCUCCCUAAUACACACAAGCCAAUGAGUAGGUAUUAUUAAUACAAACCACAUUUUAUAGAUGAGGAAAGGAAGCACAGAAGCCAUAAGUGGCAGGGCUGUCUGGAAAGCCUGGACUCUCACACACUAUGCAACACAGGUUUAGUCAUUUUCAAGUGUAGCUUUAAGUAGUCACACUGAGACUGGCAGAAUCAAGAUCUUGGGUGUGUAUGCCAGUACUGUGUCAAUACCGUAACAGAUUUUUAUUCAAAUUUUAUUAAUUUUUUAAGUUAUUUUAAUUAUUGAUAGAAACAUCAUUUUGGAUUGUUUUCCUACCCUACAACUUUCAAGUAUAUACAUGUAUCCCCUUCCUUCCCCUGAAUGAAGACAACGUCAGAGUCUAAAAGUCAUUAUAGAAAAUGGAACAGGAACCCUACAGGAGAGUUACCAUUUUAGAAAUUCCUCGGCCAUCAACAUGAGUGACAGCAGUCAUGGAAAUCAGAUGCAAUGUCUAGAAGGUAUUUUUCCUGCUAUUUCUCAACGUCUCUCCUCCUAGUUGAGAGAGUAAGAUAUUUUUCUUAAGCCAGCUAACUGUAAUUAAGUAGAGGACUUCACCUCAAGGUGAUUAGCUUUGUGCUACUGAAAAAGCCAAGGCCUCCCCCAUGAUAGAAAAGCAACUUCUAAAAUAGAAAUCUUACAAAGGCCCUUUCUAAAGCAGCAUAGCUUGUGUGAAGGAGCUGGGGUGGGGGUGGGAGGUUGUUAACCUGAGUCUUUGUGAUUCAUAAACACGGAUGUGGUCGCAGUGGAGGUAGAAUUCUCUGGUCUCCAACCCCAGGGAGAGAGGCCACGGAGAAGAACACAUUUUAUCUUCAUAUCCAAUCCCUCUGCUAACUCUGUGGGCAAAAAUAAUAUCUAGUAGGAAAUAAAGACAUGUGUUCCCACAAACACACCAAGCCUAUGUCUCCUAGCAGGGAAGAAAGGGAGGAAAAAGAAAACCAAAACCAAAAACAAACCUCAAUGAAGAGACACAUCCAUUUGCCAUCAACACUUGCCUGAACAACGUCCUCGAUGAUGCUAGAAUUAUUUCUUUGGACUUUUGUUUUAACCUUAGGACUUGUUUUACUUAUUCCAAAUUACUUUCAUUUUCUGAGAAGAAAUCAGUAUGCAUCAGCAUCAGUUCUAGCUGUUAUUGAUCUAACUGGACUUCAUAAAAGCCAAGUGGCCCCAGGGAAUUUGCUUGACUUUGUAAUGUUCCUUUCUCUUAUCUGUGUAGUAAGGAUGAUAAAUUUCUCCUAACUCAUGGGGAUAUGGUGAGGGUUUGUUAAGAUGGAAAACCAAGCAAUUAAGUGCUGACACACAGAACACACUGACUACAUUGUAUAUUUUAUCAUUAUUUUCUCGGUCCACAGAUUGCAAAGAGUUAGUAAUUUUAUUUUCUUAUUGUGAUCACUUAGUGGUUGGGGUAUUCUCUGAUCUAGUGGCACACAACAUUUAUCUCUCCUUUAUAUUCUAUAAAUUGAAGCCUCAAAAGAGCAGGGUUUUUUUAAUAUGGGUUAUAUCUAUCAAUAUUUACCACAUUAGAAAUUAGAACUGAUUUUUUGAAGUUUAUUUCAUUUAAAAUUAGUGUUAUACUGUUUAGACAUUGACAUUCCUUAUUUCUAUGAAAAAAUAUUUUCUAAAACAGAAACAGACUUAAUAAAUUGGGUGGCAUUGUAUAUUUUUCACAAAUCUUUAAUAUCUCGCUUAUCUGACAGCAUCUAUGUUCCUGUAUCUGUUUCUGUAUCUAAUCUAACACAUACAUUUAUAUGUGAAUAUAUACACAUAUAUAUACACACACAUGGAUAUUUCUCUCUAUAUAUAUAUUUCAGUUGAAGUAUAUGAAGAAAUCUGUUUGUACAAAGAUAUGUAGUUAGAAAAACAUGGUCCUUAUAUGUCCUCUGAAAGGUCUCAAGGACCUCCCAAGAUGGACCUCAGUUUUAUUCAAAGCACAAAUUUCUACCACCCUCUUGCCCUCAUGUUUCUUACUGACAGUCCUCAAGACAGAGUACUAAUCUUAAGCAUCAAGUACCCAGUUAUUGACGGUGACUGACUAUGGGUUAAAACCUCAGACACCGGGGCAAUUCUUUUUUUGGACCCCGUGAUAGAAGUGGUUGGUGGACUCUCUCUACCAUCUAGCUUAUCUCUUCACAGAUCAUAUGCCAGGGCUGGUUCUCCUUCUUCCCCUAAUUUGUACUUUGAGCCUGUAUGAAGGAGAUUGACAUUUCACUUUCAGUUUGUGAACCAUGCAUGCUCGAAGUAUAAUUCCAAAGAACUUGGAAAUACACUAUUAUCCAGAAAGAAGUGUCAUAUAGGCAAUAGGAAAAAGGUAACUUCAACACCAAAUUAUUUAUUAAAAUCAUCUUCAUAGACAAUUUCUCCCUUUCCCUCCCUUCCCCCUCUAUAUAUAUGCAUAUAAUUUUAAUACCUAAUAGAUUUUAAUUUUAAUUUUAUUUUUUAGUAAUUUUAUUGUAAUUGAUUUACAAUGUUCUGUCAUUUUCUGCUGUACAGCAAAGGGGCCCAUUUAUGUGUGUGUGUGUGUGUAUAUAUAUAUACAUUCCUUUUUAACAUUAUCCUCCAUCAUGUUCCAUCAAAAGUGAUUGGAUAUAGUUCCCUGUGCUACACAGUAGGAUCUCAUUGCCCACACACUCCAAAUGCAGUAGUUUGCCUCUAGUAACCCCAAACUCCCAGUCCAUCCCACUCCCUCCCCCUCUCCCUUCGCCACAACCAAUCUGUUGUCCAUGUCCAUGAGUUUGUUUCUUUUCUGUAGAUAGGUUUAUUUGUGCCACAUGAUUCCAGAUGUAAGUGAUAUCAUAUGGCAUUUUUUAUUUUCAGUAAUUGUGUUAAAAAUAAGAGAGAAAGAGGAGUUCCCAUCAUGGCGCAGCAGAAACAAAUCUAGCAUCAAAGAGAUGCAAGAUUGAUCCCGGGCCUUGCUCAGUGGGUUAAAGAUCCAGAGUUGCUGUGAGCUGUGGUGCAGGUCGCAUAUGCAGAUCAGAUCUGAUGUUGCAGUGGCUGUGGUG
rnacentral:lncRNA from 1 species